rnacentral:rRNA from 1 species
CCUAGAGGAGCCUGUCCCAUAAUCGAUAGCCCCCGCUUUACCCUACCAUAUUCUCACUUAGUCUGUAUACCUCCGUCGCAAGCCCACCUUGUGAAUGUNNGUGGGCUAAAUGGUCUCCUUNCCCAGUGNUUCGGGUCAAGGUGCAGCUUAUGAAACGGAGCGAGAUGGGCUACAAUUUCUNCCAUANAACACACGAAAAGAUANUUGAAUUUCANCUGUGANGGUGGAUUUAGCAGUAAAAAGAAAAUUNNGCNUUCUUUUUAAUUAGGCACUGGGACUUGUAC